CCGGUAAGCUGAUGGACUGGAAUAUAAAAUUCAGGCGUUCGACCUUGAGAAAUUGCCGUUUGUGUACUAAACGAAGCGGGCGUUAUGAUCGCUGUUCUUGGCCACGUACGAGCGGGAGGUAAUGGAGUUCGCCGAGUACAUCUUACCCGAUCCGAUCGUGAUUCAGCUAGCGCGGGAGCAAGAAUCACUAGAUAACAUCAAACAGCACUACAAUAAGUACCGCAACCAGGACGAGAAAUAUCAAGCAAUUUCGAUCAUCUUUGGCGUGAUUACCAUCGGAUAUGCGAUCAUUUUCUGUCGUGUGAGUAUAGGACAGUUGUGAUUGGCAUUGUUAAUCGAUGGAAACAGACACGCAAAACGGCCGAUAGGAUGGUCAUUCGGUAGCGGUACUGUCCGGUGAUUUAACGGUGGAGCAAUGGUUUGCCGGUCUGAAUCGAUUCCGAGCCGGACUAAAGAAGGUAUUGAUUACAACGAACGUUUUGUCUUGGGGUAUCGAUGUCGAACAGGUGACCAUUGUAAACUUCAUCCUGUCGAUGGAUCAGUAGAGACGAGCCGAUUGCGAAACGUAUCUGCAUCGAAUUGGACGCACCGGUAAAUUCUGCAUCGCCAUCAACCUGGUGGGCAGUGAUCGAAGCAUGAUGAUUUGCAGAUCAUUCGAAAAACACUUCCAGAAAAAGAUUCAGCUGCUAGACGCGGAGAACUCGGACGUUAUUGAAAAGAUUGGAUCGUAGUGUUUUCGACCAGCUACUGGUGAAAGGCGCUGGAGCUUUUUUGGUUCAUUAUUGUUCCGAUUGUGAAUCUAUAACUUUAUUUAGCUCUAUCAGUUGAUUUCCUUAGGAUUUAAUUCAAGGAUCGGUAACGCGAGGAUUGUGAAGUGCAUGUUUAAUUGUUAUAACUUGGAGUUAAGUGAACCACAGAUAACAGACGUUUAAGCUCGAUUUGAAUCGUGUAUAAAAACCCGCUACUGAAAUUCCGAAUAAAUUAGACGUCUG